rnacentral:rRNA from 1 species
CCUACGGGAGGCAGCAGUGGGGAAUAUUGGGCAAUGGAGGCAACUCUGACCCAGCAACGCCGCGUGAGUGAAGAAGUAUUUCGGUAUGUAAAGCUCUAUCAGCAGGGAAGAAAUAGCGACCUUUGGGUCGCCAGACGGUACCUGAUUAAGAAGCCCCGGCUAACUACGUGCCAGCAGCCGCGGUAAUACGUAGGGGGCAAGCGUUAUCCGGAUUUACUGGGUGUAAAGGGAGCGUAGACGGCAGCGCAAGUCUGAAGUGAAAUGCCGGGGCUUAACCCCGGAACUGCUUUGGAAACUGUGCAGCUAGAGUGCAGGAGAGGUAAGUGGAAUUCCUAGUGUAGCGGUGAAAUGCGUAGAUAUUAGGAGGAACACCAGUGGCGAAGGCGGCUUACUGGACUGUAACUGACGUUGAGGCUCGAAAGCGUGGGGAGCAAACAGGAUUAGAUACCCUUGUAGUC